UAUGUUACUUAAUUGACCUAUUGUAGAUGAAAAGUUUAUGUUUAGGCUGGGGAUGUAGUCAGCACUACAAAAAAGAAAGUUCAGAUUUUUCCCUGUCGUUUUCUCUCUAAUACUAAAGCUACUGUUCUUUUACAUAAUUCUUUUGGUAGAAGUAAUACAUCUUUAGGAAUAACCAAUUUGUAUCUAGAAGUAGAAUUCCUGGAUUGAAGCACUUAAUAUUUUAAUAGAUUUUUGCCCAAUUGCUCUCAGGAGAAGUUUAUUAAUUUGCAUUUCCACCCAAGUUGAGUUUCUGUUUCCCUCAGUGUAACCAGUAGUGUAUCAAACCGUUGGAUCUUUUCAGUCUAAUAGUUUAAAAUGAUUCUCUCAUGCUGCAUGGGUUUUCUGCUUGAUUUUUACAGUGCUUGGGGUUGAGCUGCGCUACACCCCCAGCCCUAUUUUUAUUUCUUAUCUUGAGACAGGUUUGCUAAGUGGCUGUAUUGCCCAGGUGGUGCUUGAAUUUUCGGCCCCUUUGCCCAGAGUGAUAGGGUCACAGGUGUGUGCACUGAGCUUGGCUGGGUGGGGGUGGUUUUGGAGACUUGAGUCUCACUGUGUGGCCCAAAUGGGCCUCAAGCUUGUUAUCUGCCUGCCUCAGCCUCCCAAGUACUGGGAUUAUAAGUGUGUGCCACCAUCCCUGGCUGAGGUUUUAUUUAUCUUACUGUGACGUCAGCACCUUUUUGUGUGUUUAAGAGCUGUGUUUAAUUUGUAUUUCUGAAUAUAUGUGUAGUUAUUUUGCCAAUUCCUUUAGAUAUUUAGGUUUACUUUUUUUUUUUUGGUACUGGGGAUCGAACUCGGGUCCUUGCAUUUGCGCAGCAGGCGACGAAACCACUGAGCUAAAUCCCCGGCCCUAGGUUUACUUUUUUUAACUUUUGCUAAUAAAAUUUACUACCAGUCGCUUGUCAUUAUUUGUGGAGUCCAUAUUUGCAGAUGUGUCACUUUAUCCUAAUCCAGCAGCAGCACUCAUGAUGCAGUCACAGACAUUCAGGGACACAGUACCGAGAUGUCUGAGUCCUGUUUUGUUUCAUCUCUUAUACUACAAAUGAUCAACUUAGCUCCCCAUUGCCCAGAUGAUGGAAGGGACUCCCAUCCCUGGUGCCCAGUGGCUGCUUUUGCCAGGCUCUGUGGACACCUGGCCUGUGCAGGUAAGGAUUUGGCAGGAAUCCUGCACAUUUGGGUGGCUUUUGUUUGUUAUUUUACAUGCUCAGCAGCCACCAGCACAGUGUCACACUGCUGCCAGUGACCCUAAUUUCCAAAGGCUUGGAUAGGCCCGAGAAGAAGCACAUGUGGCAAAUAAGCUUUAUUCAGGCAAAAGUUCUGUUCUGUCCAGGGUGA
rnacentral:lncRNA from 1 species